CUCCGCCUUGGCGACGCCGUACUCUACUGCCGCCAUAUCCAUCUUGGGUCCCUUCUUCAUUCCUCCAAAAUAAAAAACAUUCCUGAGCCUUAUACAUGUGGGGCACGUAAUGAACGUUCUUGAAUAUUCUUUUUUUGAUUAGUCGAUUCAUGAAUAUUUCUUGUCUUGGUGAUGCCCUUCAAUUCAAGGAUAUAUGGUAUAAAAAGGCGCUUCAGCUUUUAGGAAGUCAAACUCAGACAUAUCUAGAAGAGUCUUAUCAGACGGAAGGAAGUGGACUAAUAUUCUUCUUGCAGCCAAUGUAUUAAAAAUCUCCAGCAAUCUAUUGAGUGGACUAUAACAUAUUCUUCAAUAUUUCAAGGAGGGAAGAAAGCUCAUCUUCAAGAAUUUUCUGUGAAUUGGAUGAUUACAGUGCUAGAUGAUGGAAAUCAAACAAAGGAAAACAGCUUCUAUGUUUUGUUCAAGAAUAAAUGAAGAAUGCGAUGGAGAGUGUACAAGAUCUGAUUGAAGAGGCUAAGCUUCGAACACUUUGGUGGCAUUAUGUAUAUUUGCUGUCUCUUCUUGCCGCGUAAGCUCCAGUUUCUUCUUUUUUGUUUCGUCAAAUGUAAAUUUUAAAUGUUUGUUUCCCCCCUUGUUUUAGCCACUAAAUUGCAUAAGUAACGGUAUUUUCUUGUUUAAAUAUAAAUUCAUUUCAGCUGCAAUGUAAUGAUUAGCUGGUGUUGAAAUUAAGAAAUUAUGGGGUUGAUAUUUGUGAA